AACAUAUCCGGUGGGCAUUUCCUUGUCAAAUCCUUGAACCUCUCUCAGGCCUCAUAGAGUGUUUCCACCAUCUUGCUGUCUGAAAGUUUGCACCUCAUCUCUUAACCU